rnacentral:rRNA from 1 species
UGGCGGACGGGUGAGUAACGCGUGGGCAACCUGCCCUGUACCGGGGGACAACAGCCAGAAAUGGCUGCUAAUACCGCAUAAGCCUGCUGUGCCGCAUGGCACAGCAGGGAAAACCACGGUGGUACAGGAUGGGCCCGCGUCUGAUUAGUUAGUUGGCAGGGUAACGGCCUACCAAGACAACGAUCAGUAGCCGGCUUGAGAGAGUGGACGGCCACAUUGGGACUGAGACACGGCCCAGACUCCUGCGGGAGGCAGCAGUGGGGAAUAUUGCACAAUGGGGGGAACCCUGAUGCAGCAAUGCCGCGUGGGUGAAGAAGCACUCCGGUGCGUAAAGCCCUGUCAGCAGGGAAGAAAAUGACAGUACCUGGACAAGAAGCCCCGGCUAACUACGUGCCAGCAGCCGCGGUAAUACGCAGGGGGCAAGCGUUAUCCGGAUUUACUGGGUGUAAAGGGAGCGCAGGCGGCGUGGCAAGUCAGAUGUGAAAACCCGGGGCCCAACCCCGGGAGUGCAUUUGAAACUGCCAUGCUGGAGUGCCGGAGAGGUAAGCGGAAUUCCUAGUGUAGCGGUGAAAUGCGUAGAUAUUAGGAGGAACACCAGUGGCGGAGGCGGCUUACUGGACGGUAACUGACGCUGAGGCUCGAAAGCGUGG